UACAGAGGGUGCAAGCGUUGUUCGGAAUUACUGGGCGUAAAGAGCUCGUAGGCGGUUUGUCGCGUCUGCCGUGAAAGUCCGGGGCUCAACUCCGGAUCUGCGGUGGGUACGGGCAGACUAGAGUGAUGUAGGGGAGACUGGAAUUCCUGGUGUAGCGGUGAAAUGCGCAGAUAUCAGGAGGAACACCGAUGGCGAAGGCAGGUCUCUGGGCAUUAACUGACGCUGAGGAGCGAAAGCAUGGGGAGCGAACAGG
rnacentral:rRNA from 1 species